GAGUAGUUUCUCUUUAGCUGAGUUUGGGACAGGAGCGGGCUCUCUCUCCCUCCCUCUUUUAAAUAAAAACAUAGAGGAAAAAAAA
rnacentral:lncRNA from 1 species